rnacentral:rRNA from 1 species
UACGAAGGGGGCUAGCGUUGCUCGGAAUCACUGGGCGUAAAGGGUGCGUAGGCGGGUCUUUAAGUCAAGGAGGUGAAAUCCCUGGAGCUCAACUCCAGAACUGCCUUUGAUACUGAGGAUCUUGAGUUCGGGAGAGGUGAGUGGAACUGCGAGUGUAGAGGUGAAAUUCGUAGAUAUUCGCAAGAACACCCGUGGCGAAGGCGGCUCUCUGGGACGGUACUGACGCUGAGACGGCGAAAGCGUGGGGAGCGAACAGG